ACAACCGCUGGCAUUCUAUUUCAUAAGA
rnacentral:sRNA from 1 species